ACUAUUUACGAUCUUGAAGAUGUGGUCGAUGAAUUAAUUAUCAAAUCAUCCCAGAGAAGAAACAGAGAUGCUCCUGUCGAUUUGCUGGAUCAUAACAGACUUCUUAAGAGACUGGAACAGAUAAAGAUUAAAAUUUCCAUAGCAUGUACUGCAAUUUUUCUGUCUGGUGCCUGGCACAACUCCUUUGGCAUAUACGACGUGGGUGUUGGCAACUCCGUAAUUUCUCCAGUUAUUGGUUUGUCUGAGGCAUUAGUCACUCGGAAAGAGCUUCGUCCUAAUGUGCGAAGGCAAGCCAGGAGGUUGAGAGACGAAUUCAAGUGUUUGCAGGAUUUUCUAAAACAUGUUGAACAAUCAAAAGAAUUAAGU
rnacentral:misc_RNA from 1 species